UUAAAAUUUUUCUUUGCUUUUCUCUGAUUGGUUAACGGUAAUUUACCCACGCCAUUUUGAAAAAUAGAUCGACGAAACGAAUUGAGAGAGUUGGUGAUGUUUAAUAAAAUUUAGCUAAUAUUCGCCGAUGAAAUUGGUAGAAAAUAGAUGUUUAGCUACAGCAUGUUAGCAUGUAUCACAUUUAUAAACAAAGAAAAGCGAAAACGGAAGGAGGUUGGCGUUUUUCAAGCAUCAUGCCCUGGCUUUCCUGGUGUAAACAACGCCAUAUGCGUUUGAGUGCCUCUGCAGAGCCAUAGAAGAAAAGCUGAUUAGUUAUACAGGAAUAGGACACCCACCCACCCUCCCACCCUACCCCUUGAGGCAUUACAGAUUAUGCAGGACCAAGCAGGAUGACAGUGAGAAAACUGGAGAUGUACUUCUUCAACAAAGUAAAGUGCUGUGCAAAAGAAACCCCAAAGCAGAGAGAAGAUCUAGACUUUUGAAUUCAUAUCUCAUUAUAAAUGUACAAUUUACAAAGACAAUAAGAUUGAUAAAACAUGACUUAGAAAUGAGGACAAUUGAAGAGUGAAUACUGUAUGUAAGACAGAAAAGAUCAAGAUAAUUGCACAAAAAGUAACUAAAUCAGUAAUCUAAAGACAUUUCUCUUUAAAAUCUGAUUGAAAGCUGCAUUUAAGAAAAAGUUUUUCACGUUUUUAGUACUUUUCUAGGCACUGCUUUGUAUUAUUUAAAGCUUUUUUAUGUACUUUUUGUCUAUCAUUCUUGUACCUUUUUUGAACUCCUAAAUGUAUUUUUUUUUGUAUUUUUCAGAAUGUUUUAUUUUUAGAUUUUUUUGUUUUAAAUGCGAUUUUAAUACAGAAAUAAUAGACUGAUACAAAAUUAAUACAUUUUGUAUUAUUUUCCUAUUUUUUUUUUUCAAGGUGCUCCAAAUAAUACAGAAAUAAUAGACUGAUACAAAAUUAAUACAUUUUGUAUUAUUUUCCUAUUUUAAUUUUCAAGGU